UUCUCCUUGGCAUGGUCACGGAAUGGAUACCUGUUUGAUCUUCCUGCACUGCUGAGAAAUCUUCCUUUUGGGGGAGAGGAUUAAGUCUGGGUUGAGAUGCAGUGGCUCAUGCCUGUAAUCCCAGCACUUUGGGAGGCUGAGGCAAGUGGAUUACUUGAGGUCAGGAGUUCGAGACUACCCUGGCCAACAUGAUGAAACGCCCUCUCUACUAAAAAUACAAAAAUUUACCAGGCAUGGUGGUGGGCUCCUGUAAUCUCAACUACUCAGGAGGCUGAGGCAGGAGAAUCGCCUGAACCGUGUGGUGGAGGUUGCAGUGAGCCGAGAUCAGGCCACUACACUCCAGCCUGGGUGACAGAGCGAGACUCUGUCUCCACAAAAAAAUAAAUAAAUAAAAAAUAAAAAACAAAACUUAAUGUGUGUAAUCUAAAUUCUUGUAUAGCAUGAG
rnacentral:lncRNA from 1 species